UACGUAGGGGGCAAGCGUUAUCCGGAUUUACUGGGUGUAAAGGGAGCGUAGGCGGUCUGACAAGUCAGAAGUGAAAGCCCGGGGCUCAACCCCGGGACUGCUUUUGAAACUGCCGGACUAGAUUGCAGGAGAGGUAAGUGGAAUUCCUAGUGUAGCGGUGAAAUGCGUAGAUAUUAGGAGGAACACCAGUGGCGAAGGCGGCUUACUGGACUGUAAAUGACGCUGAGGCUCGAAAGCGUGGGGAGCAAACAGG
rnacentral:rRNA from 1 species